rnacentral:rRNA from 1 species
GGUCAAGUUAUUAAGGGCGCAGGGUGGAUGCCUUGGCGCCAGGGGCCGAUGAAGGACGUGGCAAGACUGCGAUAAGCCCGGGCUAGCUGUCUAGCGAGCUCAACCCGGGAUCUCCGAAUGGGGCAACCCGGUCCGGGUCAUACCGGAUCACCGCUGGCUGAACACAUAGGCCAGAUGGAGGGCACCGGGGGAACUGAAACAUCUCAGUACCCCGAGGAAAAGAAAGUAUUCCCUUAGUAGCGGCGAGCGAACGGGGAGCAGCCCAAACCGUCAUCUUCGGAUGGCGGGGUUGUAGGACGGCCGCACGGAGUUACCAAUCGACCUGAUAGCUGAAGGGCCUGGAACGGUCCACCGCAGCGGGUGAGAGUCCCGUAAGCGAAAUCGGCGUCGACUCCGGCCGGAUCCUGAGUACCAGCGAACACGUGAAAUUCGCUGGGAAGCUGGGGAGACCACUCUCCAAGGCUAAAUACCCCUGGUGACCGAUAGUGAACCAGUACCGCGAGGGAAAGGUGAAAAGCACCCCGGGAGGGGAGUGAAAUAGACCUGAAACCCUGCGCUUACAAGCAGUCAGAGCCGCCUCGAGCGGUGAUGGCGUGCCUAUUGAAGAAUGAGCCGACGAGUUACGUUCAGUGGCAAGGUUAAGCGAUGUGAGUCGCGGAGCCGGAGCGAAAGCGAGUCUGAAUAGGGCAUUCAGUCGCUGGACGUAGACCCGAAACCGAGUGAUCUACCCAUGGGCAGCGUGAAGCGGGGGUAAAACCACGUGGAGGCGCGAACCUUCCUGCGUUGCAAAGCAGUUGGAUGACCUGUGGGUAGCGGUGAAAUGCUAAUCGAACUCGGAGAUAGCUGGUUCUCCCCGAAAUGCAUCUAGGUGCAGCCUCAGGUGUUUUCCGGUGGGGGUAGAGCUCUGAUAGGGCUAGGGGGCAUAGCGCUUACCAAACCCUCUCAAACUGCGAAUACCAUCGGAUGAGAGCCUGGGAGUGAGACUGCGGGUACUAAGAUCCGUAGUCAAAAGGGAAACAGCCCAGACCCACAGCUAAGGUCCCUAAAUCCACGCUCAGUGUUAAAGGAUGUCUGGCCGCACAGACAGCCAGGAUGUUGGCUUAGAAGCAGCCACCAUUGAAAGAGUGCGUAACAGCUCACUGGUCGAGUAGCCGGGCGCCGACAAUGUAUCGGGGCUCAAGCGUGGUACCGAAGCUUGGGGAUCGUCUUUGACGAUCGGUAGGGGAGCGUUCUGCCAGCAGUGAAGCGGGAUGGGUGACCACCCGUGGAGCGGGCAGAAGUGAGAAUGUCGGCAUGAGUAGCGUAAUUCAGGUGAGAAACCUGGACGCCGUAAGCCUGAGGGUUCCUACGCAAGGUUAUUCCGCGUAGGGUUAGGCGGGCCUAAGCCGAGGGCGAGAGCCGUAGGCGAUGGACAGCAGGUUAGUAUUCCUGCCCCGCUGCGUGUGCGUUUGAGAUGAGAGGCGUGACCCGGGAGGAUAGGUGGAGCGGACCCUGUGGACAUGGUCCGUCCCUGCACCGUAGGCAUCUGGCGAUAGGCAAAUCCGUUGCCAGGCUAAGCGGAGGGUGUGGGGGAAGCAGCGACGACAGUCAAAGCGAUUCUGCUGAGUCCAUGCCGGCUAGAAAAGCGUCGUCAUCGAGUACAUGUGGCGCCCGUACCGCAAACCGACACUGGUGGGCGACGGUAAGUACCGUAAGGCGUUCGAGAGAACCUUCGUUAAGGAACUCUGCAAUUUGGCUCCGUAACUUCGGGAGAAGGAGCGCCCCUGAGGGUGAAGGACUUCGCGUCCUGAGCGCUCGGGGGCCGCAGUGAGCUGGCCCAGGCGACUGUUUAACAAAAACACAGGUCUCUGCUAACCGGUAACGGGAUGUAUAGGGGCUGACGCCUGCCCAGUGCCGGAAGGUUAAGGGGAGAGCUGAGAGGCUUGAACCGAAGCCCCGGUGAACGGCGGCCGUAACUAUAACGGUCCUAAGGUAGCGAAAUUCCUUGUCGGGUAAGUUC